CCUACGGGUGGCAGCAGUGAGGAAUAUUGGUCAAUGGGCGAGAGCCUGAACCAGCCAAGUCGCGUGAGGGAGUACUGCCCUAUGGGUUGUAAACCUCUUUUGUACGGGAGCAAAAGCCGGACGUGUCCGGCUGUGAGAGUAACCGAAGAAAAAGCAUCGGCAAACACCGUUCCAGCAGCCGCGGUAAUACGGGGGAUGCGAGCGUUAUCCGGAUUUAUUGGGUUUAAAGGGGUCGCAGGCGGGUUUUUAAGUCAGCGGUAAAAUCGUGGGGUUCAACCCCAUCCAGCCGUUGAAACUGGGGAUCUAGAGUGUGCGAGCGGUAGGCGGAAUGCGUGGUGUAGCGGUGAAAUGCAUAGAGAUCACGCAGAACCCCGAUUGCGAAGGCAGCAUACCGGUGCACAACUGACGCUCAGGCACGAAAGCGUGGGUAUCGAACAGGAUUAGAUACCCUUGUAGUC
rnacentral:rRNA from 1 species